GAUGAAGAACGUAGCGAAAUGCGAUACGUAAUGUGAAUUGCAGAAUUCAGUGAAUCAUCGAGUCUUUGAACGCACAUUGCGCACCCUGGUAUUCCGGGGGGCAUGCCUGUCCGAGCGUCAUUGCUGCCCUCAAGCACGGCUUGUGUGUUGGGCCUCCGUCCUCCUCCCGGGGGACGGGCCCGAAAGGCAGCGGCGGCACCGCGUCCGGUCCUCGAGCGUAUGGGGCUUCGUCACCCGCUCUUGUAGGCCCGGCCGGCGCUUGCCGACACAUCAAUCUUUUUUCCAGGUUGACCUCGGAUCAGGUAGGGAUACCCGCUGAACUUAAGCAUAUCAAUAAGCGGAGGA
rnacentral:misc_RNA from 1 species